AUGGGUGAGUCCCGCGGGAUGGAGCCGCAGCCGCGUGGGGUUGGUCCCACCGCGGCUCUCGGCACCGCGCACGCUCCCUCCGGCGCGUUGGGGGUGGAUGUGCGGCACAGGGUUACAGCUUUAUGGGGUAGGUGUAUGGGUAGGGAGAGGUCGAUGUCUGUUGUUGGUAUCUGUAGUCCGGAUUUGGACAUAUUGGUUGAUGGAGGUACAGGUUUAGAUGUAUUGAUGUCUGUAGUUACAGGUUUAUACGUACUGGUUGCUGUAGGUACAGGUUUAGAUGUAUUGAUGUCUGUAGUUACAGGUUUAUACGUACUGGUUGAUGUAGGUACAGGUUUAGAUGUAUUGAUGUCUAUAGUCACAGAGUUGGACAUAUUGGUUGAUGGAGGUACAGGUUUAGAUGUAUUGAUGUCUGUAGUCACAGAUUUGGACAUAUGGGUUGAUGUAGGUACAGGUUUAGAUGUAUUGAUGUUUAUAGUCACAGGUUUAUACGUACUGGUUGAUGGAGGUACAGGUUUAGACAUAUUGACGUCUAUAGUUACAGGUUUAGAUAUAUUGAUUGAUGUAGGUACAGGUUUAGACAUAUUAAUGUCUAUAGUUACAGGUUUAUACGUGCUGAUUGAUGUAGGUACAGGUUUAGACGUAUUGAUAUCUGUAGUUACAGGUUUAGAUAUAUUGAUUGAUGUAGGUACAGGUUUAGAUGUAUUGAUAUCUAUAGUCACAGAGUUGGACAUAUUGACUGAUGUAGUUACAGGUUUAGAUGUAUUGAUAUCUGUAGUUACAGAUUUGGACAUACUGAUUGAUGUAGGUACAGGUUUAGAUGUAUUGAUAUCUAUAGUUACAGGUUUAGAUAUAUUGAUUGAUGUAGGUACAGGUUUAGAUGUAUUGAUAUCUAUAGUUACAGGUUUAGAUAUAUUGAUUGAUGUAGGUACAGGUUUAGAUGUAUUGAUAUCUGUAGUUACAGGUUUAGAUAUAUUGAUUGAUGUAGUUACAGGUUUAGACAUAUUGAUAUCU
rnacentral:lncRNA from 1 species